UACGUAGGGUGCGAGCGUUAAUCGGAAUUACUGGGCGUAAAGCGUGCGCAGGCGGUUUUGUAAGACAGAUGUGAAAUCCCCGGGCUCAACCUGGGAACUGCAUUUGUGACUGCAUCGCUGGAGUGCGGCAGAGGGGGAUGGAAUUCCGCGUGUAGCAGUGAAAUGCGUAGAUAUGCGGAGGAACACCGAUGGCGAAGGCAAUCCCCUGGGCCUGCACUGACGCUCAUGCACGAAAGCGUGGGGAGCAAACAGG
rnacentral:rRNA from 1 species